CCAUUAUUGGAUAAAGAUUGGUUCUC
rnacentral:misc_RNA from 1 species